UCUUCUGUAGGCAAAUCCGCAGAGGGUGCUGAAGUCCAACAGUACCAGGAGGCUCCGGCCGAAUGGAUAGAGAAUGUAAGCAGACUUCCGUGAAAAUCUUCUAAGCAUAUUGAUACGGUACCCGUACCGCAAACCGACACAGGUAGUCAAGGAGAGAAUCCUGAGGUGCUCGAGUGAGUCAUGGCUAAGGAACUAGGCAAAUUAAACCUGUAACUUCGGGAAAAGGGUUGCCUCUCUUUAGCAAUAAAGAAGGUCGCAGAGAAAUGGCCCAGGCGACUGUUUAACAAAAACACAUGCUAUGCGAAAUCGUAAGAUGAAGUAUAUGGCCUGACACCUGCCCGGUGCUGGAAGGUUAAGGGGGGACGUUAGUCGCAAGGCGAAGCGUUGAACUGAAGCCCCAGUAAACGGCGGCCGUAACUAUAACGGUCCUAAGGUAGCGAAAUUCCUUGUCGGGUAAGUUCCGACCUGCACGAAUGGUGUAACGAUCUGGGCACUGUCUCAGCCAUGAGCUCGGUGAAAUUGUAGUCACGGUGAAGAUGCCGUGUACCCGUCACGGGACGGAAAGACCCCAUGCACCUUUACUAUAGCUUCGCAUUGACAUUGGGUAGAUGAUGUGUAGGAUAGGUGGGAGACAUUGAUCCUGUGCCGCUAGGUAUAGGGGAGUCAACGGUGAAAUACCACCCUUUAUUUAUCUGAUGUCUAAUCCGCAAGACCUGCGGAGACAGUGCGUGGUGGGUAGUUUGACUGGGGUGUCGCCUCCGAAAGUGUAUCGGAGGCUUUCAAAGGUAUGCUCAAUACGCUUGGUAACCGUAUGUGGAGUGCAAUAGCAUAAGCAUGCUUGACUGUGAGACUGACAAGUCGAGCAGGGUCGAAAGACGGAUAUAGUGAUCCGGUGGUUCUGUAUGGAAGGGCCAUCGCUCAAAGGAUAAAAGGUACGCCGGAUAACAGGCUGAUCUCCCCCAAGAGCUCACAUCGACGGGGAGGUUUGGCACCUCGAUGUCGGCUCGUCACAUCCUGGGGCUGGAGAAGGUCCCAAGGGUUAGGCUGUUCGCCUAUUAAAGUGGCACGCGAGCUGGGUUCAGAACGUCGUGAGACAGUCGGUCCCUAUCUGUGAUGGGCGUAGGAAGUUUGAGAGGAUCUGACCUUAGUACGAGAGGACCGGGUUGGACCAACCGCUGGUGUACCGGUUGUGGCGUCAGCUGCAUCGCCGGGUAGCUACGUUGGGACGAGAUAAGCGCUGAAAGCAUCUAAGCGCGAAACUCACCUCAAGAUGAGACUUCCAUUAAGGGACGUCAGAGACUAUGACGUUGAUAGGCUGCAGGUGUAAAGGCAGAAAUGUCAAAGCUGAGCAGUACUAAUUACUC
rnacentral:rRNA from 1 species